rnacentral:rRNA from 1 species
GACAGAGGGUGCAAACGUUGUUCGGAAUUACUGGGCGUAAAGCGUGUGUAGGCGGUUUGCUAAGUCGGGUGUGAAAGCCCCGGGCUCAACCCGGGAAGUGCACUCGAAACUGGCAGGCUAGAGUACUGGAGAGGUUGGUGGAAUUCUCGGUGUAGAGGUGAAAUUCGUAGAUAUCGAGAGGAACACCGGUGGCGAAGGCAGCUGACGAAACUGUAACUGACACUGAGGCUCGAAAGUGCGGGGAUCAAACAGG